UGGCUCAGAACGACGCUGGCGGCGCGUUUAAGCAUGCAAGUCGAGCGGCAAGGGCCUUCGGGCCCCUAGAGCGGCGGACGGGUGAGUAACACGUGGACAAUCUGCCCCCCGGCCCGGGAUAGCCCAGGGAAACCUGGAUUAAUACCGGAUGAGACGGGACCCGCGAUGGCGGGAUCCGGGAAGGCGCUGCGGCGCCGCCGGGGGAUGAGUCUGCGUCCCAUUAGCUAGACGGCGGGGUAACGGCCCACCGUGGCGACGAUGGGUAGCCGGCCUGAGAGGGUGGACGGCCACAUUGGAACUGAGACACGGUCCAGACUCCUACGGGAGGCAGCAGCUAAGAAUCUUCCGCAAUGGGCGAAAGCCUGACGGAGCGACGCCCGCGUGAACGAAGAAGGCCGUGAGGUUGUAAAGUUCUUUUCGGGAGGGGGAACAACCGUGGCAGGGAAUGGCCGCGGGAUGACGUGAAUCCCGGAAUAAGCCCCGGCUAACUACGUGCCAGCCGCAGC
rnacentral:rRNA from 1 species